rnacentral:rRNA from 1 species
GGANCCCCUCCUGGCUCAGGACGAACGCUGGCGGCGUGCUUAACACAUGCAAGUCGAACGAUGAAGCCCUUCGGGGUGGAUUAGUGGCGAACGGGUGAGUAACACGUGGGCAAUCUGCCCUUCACUCUGGGACAAGCCCUGGAAACGGGGUCUAAUACCGGAUAACACCGGCUUCCGCAUGGGAGCUGGUUAAAAGCUCCGGCGGUGAAGGAUGAGCCCGCGGCCUAUCAGCUUGUUGGUGGGGUAAUGGCCUACCAAGGCGACGACGGGUAGCCGGCCUGAGAGGGCGACCGGCCACACUGGGACUGAGACACGGCCCAGACUCCUACGGGAGGCAGCAGUGGGGAAUAUUGCACAAUGGGCGAAAGCCUGAUGCAGCGACGCCGCGUGAGGGAUGACGGCCUUCGGGUUGUAAACCUCUUUCAGCAGGGAAGAAGCGAAAGUGACGGUACCUGCAGAAGAAGCGCCGGCUAACUACGUGCCAGCAGCCGCGGUAAUACGUAGGGCGCAAGCGUUGUCCGGAAUUAUUGGGNGUAAAGAGCUCGUAGGCGGCUUGUCACGUCGGGUGUGAAAGCCCGGGGCUUAACCCCGGGUCUGCAUCCGAUACGGGCAGGCUAGAGUGUGGUAGGGGAGAUCGGAAUUCCUGGUGUAGCGGUGAAAUGCGCANAUAUCANGAGGAACACCGGUGGCGAANGCGGAUCUCUGGGCCAUUACUGACGCUGAGGAGCGNAAGCGUGGGGAGCGAACAGGAUUANUACCCNUGGUAGUCCACGCCGUAAACGUUGGGAACUANGGUGUUGGGCGACAUUCCACGUCGUCNNNGCCGCACCUAACGCAUUAAGUUCCNCGCCUGGGGAGUACGGNCGCAGGNUAAANCUCAANNGAAUUNNCNGGGGUCCGNNCNAGNAGCGG